GUUCGAAAAUACUUGUCAUCAAAAUGGACAAAAAGGGAUGUAUCUAGAACUAAAAUACAUCUAGAUACAUCCUCUUUUAUUCAUUUCGAUGAUAAGUAUUUCCGGAC
rnacentral:pre_miRNA from 1 species